GGGAGGACGCUCCCUUGUAGGGAGAUUCCAGCGCCUGUAAGCAGAAAUUCAGGAGACUGAUGUGGUAAGAAUUUUGCUAUACUUGUCAGAGGUCCCAGAAUCUCUCUGCUGCAAGGAGCCCUGGAGCGAGCAGGUUGCAGCCAGUGAAACUGGUCCCUUCAUGGUCACCAAAUGUAGGGGUGGAAAAUUUUUCCUUGCACCCACUAGGUUCUUUGGUUUGUCUAGACAGAUUAACAGGAGAAAAACAAAUUUAACUUUGCACCGACGGAGCUCCAUGAAAAUGUGAGACCCCCAAAGCAAGUCAGGCUGUUACCCUGCAUAUGCCAUCCUUAGCUAAGGAACCGGGUAGGGACCUGGGGCUAGAAAUGGGAGGAGGUUGAUUCACAGAUCAGGAGAGCAGAUCUCUUAGAUGUUUGCCCUGCUCGUAAGGUCUGUAUGUUUGGAUUCUUCUCGGUGUCCUUUUGUCUUGGAGGUAAGAAUGCUCCUUUCCUUUAGGUCUGGGGAAGGCAUCUGUGACCUACUUCAGGGGAGAGAGACGGGGAAGGUCAGAGUGCACGUCCUGCUUCUGCCAUUUUCUCAGACUCCUUCUGCUUAAAGUAUUCAGUAUGCCAAGGUGCCAUAUUUUGGGGCAACCUCUUGAACCCCAUCACCAGUCACAUAUUUUUACAUCUGUCCCGAAUCUCUUGGCAUACCCUAUAUCAUAUCUCACUUUGGAUAUGUGUACUUGUUCUUUCCAGUUUUUAUUUGGCAGAGAUUUGUCUGUUAGUUUCAAAUACAAAUAUGAUUUUAUAUUGUUCACAUGGAUGUAUAAUUGGAGAUGGUGGGAAAACGUCUCCAGGUUGUUUCUGUUGUCUCUGGAAAUGGAGAAGGAUGAGAACCCACUCUGGGUUAGGUCUGGGGUUCGGGGCACAGAAGUGAUCUGACCACAGUGGUUUUGUUACCUAUUGUAUGGAGCCACUAAGCCAUUGAGCAGGGAUGGGUAAAGGAUUCCACAAAAUAGGAUUCCACAAAAUCAGAUUGAGCUGCUACAGAGGGACUUCUGUCCCGAAGACACUUGUCUGUCACUGGUAAAAAUGACUAUGCUUGUUUCUGAUUCUACAUUUUGGUUGCUGCUGAAGAUUGUCCUUUUUAGAGGAUACUCCAGAUGUUUUGGAGAGCAUCAAGGAGAGGACGUUUCUGUCGUUUCCAUGAAUUGUGCCAGCUUCCCUAUCUUCUAUUUAUUCUUUCCCAUUAUAAAAAUAUUUGUCCCAAGUAAAAAAAUUUGAAUGCAGUGGAUGCACAGAUACAGUUCACCUAGAGCAGUGGGUCUCAGAAGGCUGGUCCGUGGACCUGCGGCAUCAGCCCCAUCUGGGAAUUGGUUAGAAAUGCAAGUUCUCUGCCCCACCAAUUACUGAGUCAGAAACUCUGGGCAGAGGGCCCAACAGUCUCUGUGUCCAGCCCUCCAGGUGACUUUGAUGCCACUAAAUGUCUAGAGACCCUGGCCUACUAUCUCCAUAACUCAUUAGAAUGAACUCUAUAGUAGUUGACUUUCACAUUUAAACACAAGCAGUUGGCUUAUACCUUUUAUAAAGUUUUUUGGGGCACCUGCGUGGCUCAGUCGGUUAAGCUUCUGACUUGGGCUCAGGUCAUGACCUCACGGUUUAUGAGUUCAAGCCCCGCAUCAGGCUUGGUGCUGACAGCUCAGAGCCUGGAGCCUGCUUCGGAUUCUGUGUCUCCCUUUCUCUCUGCCCCUUUCCCACUCGUGCUCUGUCUCUGUCUCUCAAAAAAAAAAAAAAAUGUUAAAAAAGUUUUUCAUGUAGUAACCAAAAAAUACCUUUGGAGUUUGAAAGGAUUCCUCUAAAGAUCUACCCAUCCUCUGCCCCAAUAAUUAUUAUUAAGUAGGUUAAUACCCUAAGUAAAAUUCAGGAAAGUAUCGGAUUUGACUUAAAAAUGCUAGGAAAUUAGGCUACUGUCUAAAUAUUUACAACACAGAGCUUUUAGCCGGGAGGGUCUUUUUUUUUUUUUUUUUUCAGUCUUCCAAGAAAAAAAAUUGGAAAUCAUCCAAAGAAUAGUAUAUUAUGAUACAGGCUUGAUAUUUUAUCAUUUUUAUGUACUGUUUCUGUAAAAGGUAUGUUUCAUCCACAUAUCGCGGAGUGAUAGCACGUGCAGGUGGUGUGGAGCCAUUGCUUGGAACCGUGAUACCCCCCCCACCCAAUUUAGUUGUGUGUUGGUCCCUGCAGGAGGCACAGUGGUCUUGGUGCUGCCCGGACUCAUUUCAGGCCACCAGGUUGUCCUGUCAGCCUCCCACCUUGAGCCCAUGGAGUUCAAACAGGUUAAUAACUCACGAAGCCUCUGGCCACAGGCGGAGCUUCUCACUUAUCCAUUAAUCCUUAAGCCUCUCGGUUCGAAUCGUUCUUUAAGCAAUAAAAAGGCCAGGAAGACGAAAGCAAAAAUACUGUCAGGGUUUUCUUAAUAGUUGGAGCUAAUUUUCUUGAAAUGUCACUGUCCAACGGAAGAGGUUCCAAAUUCCUACCGCUAAUCUGAUUUUCCUAUAAUUUCACCACAAAGCACACAGGAUUUAGGAUGACCUCUUCCUGCUCCAAUUGAAAGCAAGUAAAAAUAGAACUGUGGUACUUAAGGACUGGAGGUGAGCUCCUUAUGGAUGCCAUCCAAGCCUGGCCUCCUCCCCCGCGCUAACUGAUGGGGGAGGGUCCCAGGCCUGGAGGGGUGAGCGGGGAGGCCCAGAGUCUCCCAGCCACACAGAGGCCUUUGGAGCUGCCUCACCCCUCCCACAGAGACAGCCAACAGCUGAGCAUUUCUGUCUCACUGUUUCAGCAAACCUCACGCACAUGGAGUUUCUAAGCUGUCCAUUUUGCUAAUACUCUAGAUAGUGGUCAUUUCCUUCAGGGCAGUUGAUAGAAGUUUUAAAAUGUUCCAGAAGUUUAGAUACUAGAAUAGUGUUUGUUUCCUGUGACAUGGGUUAAGGAAACAGCUGUUCAGGAGCUGCCCUGAAUGACUGGACAUUGUGAGAUCUCGCUAGGAGUGGCCAUGAGUUCUUCGUUGUCCGAAAGAGUUCUUUUACUCUGUUUGCCGAACCUGCCAACUACUGUGUUCUAGUCAAACUUGGAAACAACCCAACUGUCCUCCCAGGAGUGAACGGUUUCACUGUGGUAUGUCCACACCACGAAAUUCUACUCAGCAAUAAAAAGGAACAGAUUACCCAUACAUGCACCAGCGUGGAUGAACCUCCAGAAAACUAUGCUGAGUGAAAAAAGCCAAUCUCAGAGGGAUGUGUACUGCACGAUCCCAUUCUGAAACCUUUGUUCGAGAACAGAAUUCAUAGGUUUGGAGAUCACUGGUUGGGGAGGCAGGGAGGAGGGUGUGGUUAUACAAGGAUAACCUGAGGGGGCCUUGCAGGGUCGGUACAGCUGAGGAUCUUGUGGUGUGUUACACAAGACUGUACACGGAUAAGGCUGCAUAGAGCUCCCCAUACACACACGCUCACACACUCGAGUGAGUGACUAAUGAAAUCUGAAUAAAGCUCUGGGGGUUGUACCAAUGUCAUUUACUUGGUUUUGAUGUUACACUGUUAACUGUUUAAGGUAUUAGCCUUGGGGGAGCCAUGGCACAGGUGCACGGGCUGCUGCCCUGUGCCCUGUACCUUUCUCAACACUGUCCUGUGAACCUAUGAUUAUUGCAAUUUUUAAAAAAAGUUUUAUUUAUUUAAGUAAUCUCUACACCUAAUGUGGGGCUUGAACUCACGACCCUGAGAUCAAGAGUCCCAUGCUCUUCUGACUGAGCCAGCCGGGCAUCCCUAUGGCUAUUUCAAAGUAAAAAGUUCAACAACAACUAUUUUAGUGGUUC